rnacentral:rRNA from 1 species
CGACGAUCAGUAGCCGACCUGAGAGGGUGACCGGCCACAUUGGGACUGAGACACGGCCCAAACUCCUACGGGAGGCAGCAGUGGGGAAUAUUGCACAAUGGGGGGAACCCUGAUGCAGCAACGCCGCGUGAAGGAAGACGGUUUUCGGAUUGUAAACUUCUAUCAAUAGGGAAGAAAGAAAUGACGGUACCUAAAUAAGAAGCCCCGGCUAACUACGUGCCAGCAGCCGCGGUAAUACGUAGGGGGCAAGCGUUAUCCGGAAUUACUGGGUGUAAAGGGAGAGUAGGCGGCAAGGUAAGCGAUAUGUGAAAGCCUUAGGCUUAACCUGAGGAUUGCAUAACGAACUAUCUAGCUAGAGUACAGGAGAGGAAAGCGGAAUUCCUAGUGUAGCGGUGAAAUGCGUAGAUAUUAGGAAGAACACCAGUGGCGAAGGCGGCUUUCUGGACUGAAACUGACGCUGAGGCUCGAAAGCGUGGGGAGCGAACAGGAUUAGAUACCCUGGUAGUCCACGCUGUAAACGAUGAGUGCUAGGUGUCGGGGAGGAAUCCUCG